rnacentral:rRNA from 1 species
UACGUAGGGGGCGAGCGUUGUCCGGAUUUAUUGGGCGUAAAGAGCGUGUAGGCGGUUCGGUAAGUCUGUCGUGAAAUCCUGAGGCUCAACCCUGAGCGUGCUUCCGAUACGGGCAGACUAGAGGUAUGCAGGGGAGAACGGAAUUCCUGGUGUAGCGGUGGAAUGCGCAGAUAUCAGGAGGAACACCGGUGGCGAAGGCGGUUCUCUGGGCAUUACCUGACGCUGAGGAGCGAAAGCAUGGGGAGCGAACAGG